UUAGGAAUUUUGCGCAAUGGGCGAAAGCCUGACGCAGCAACGCCGCGUGAGGGAUGAAGGCCUUCGGGUUGUAAACCUCUUUUGUUGGGGAAGAAAAAAAUGACGGUACCCAAAGAAAAAGCACCGGCUAACUACGUGCCAGCAGCCGCGGUAAUACGUAGGGUGCAAGCGUUAUUCGGAAUCAUUGGGCGUAAAGCGCAUGUAGGUGGUUUCGUUAGUUUGGCGUGAAAGCCCAGGACUCAAUCCUGGAAGUGCGUCGAAUACUGCGAGACUAGAGUACAGGAGGGGAGAACGGAAUUCCUGGUGUAGAGGUGAAAUUCGUAGAUAUCAGGAGGAACAACAGUGGCGAAGGCGGUUCUCUGGACUGUAACUGACGCUGAGAUGCGAAAGUGUGGGGAGCAAACAGG
rnacentral:rRNA from 1 species